UACAGAGGGUGCGAGCGUUAAUCGGAAUUACUGGGCGUAAAGCGCGCGUAGGCGGCUUUUCAAGUCGAUUGUGAAAUCCCCGGGCUUAACCUGGGAACUGCAGUCGAGACUGUCUAGCUAGAGUAUGGGAGAGGGAAGUGGAAUUUCAGGUGUAGCGGUGAAAUGCGUAGAUAUCUGAAGGAACAUCAGUGGCGAAAGCGACUUCCUGGACCAAUACUGACGCUCAGGCGCGACAGCGUGGGGAGCAAACAGG
rnacentral:rRNA from 1 species